CAAGAAAUGUUGAAUUCUCGACGCCAAGUAAAACUCAAAGGUAUGUAAUGUUUGUUUUAUGUGAAGUUAUCGUAUUUUGGCGAGUAAAAGUGUUUGAAAAUACUUGUUGAAGUUGAGGACCGCAAAGCGGCUUCGGCGUAAAUAUCCAUGUCGUAUUAAAUUUUCGUCUUGUCCUGGCAUAAAGUCGAUGAAGUUAGCAUCGCUUUUCGUUGUUUUUAGUUUAAAGUAGUAGAAGUACAUAUCCAUAAAGGAUUCAGUGUGUUUUGUAGCUAAAUUUUGUUUAAAAUUUGUCAUUUCAGUGAAAAUUCUCAUCCUCGUGGGAUGGACGAAGUCAAGUAAAAUCACAUUCUUGCCUGAACUUUGGAAUCAAUAUUAAACCAAAAUUAAAGAAGAAAUGUUGAAUUCUUGACGCCAAGUGAAACUUAAAGGUAUGUAAUGUUUGUUUAUGUGAAAUUAUCGUAUUUUGGCGAGUAAAAGUGUUCAAAAAUUCUUGUUGAAGUUGUGGCCGUAAGCCGGCUCGGCCUAUUAAUUUGUCGCCGCAUUCGAUUUUUGUCUUGUUAGUUGUCCUUGUAUAAAGUUGCUGAAUUUUAGUAUUGCCUUUCAUUAUCUUUAGUUUAAAAUAGUAGAAGAAUAUAUCCAUAAAGUAUUCGGUGUGUUUUGCAGCUAAAUUUUCUUUAAAAUUAAUCAUUUUAGUGAAUAUUCUCAGCCACGUGAGAUGGACGAAGUCAGUAAAAUCACAUUCUUGCCUGAACUUUGGAAUCAAAAUUAAACCAAAAUUAAAGAAGAAAUGUUGAAGUCUCAACGCCAAGUGAAACACAAAGGUAUAAUAAUGUUUGUUUUAUGUGAAAUUAAGGAAUUUUGGCGAGUAAAAGUGUUCAAAAAUUCUUGUUGAAGUUGUGGACCGCAAGCCGGCUUCGGCCUAAAUAUGUCGCAUUAGAUUUUCGUCUUGUUCUGGCAUAAACUCGCUGAAUUUAGCAUUGCUUUUUUGUUAUCUUUAGUUUAAAAUAGUAGAAGAACAUAUCCAUAAAGUACUAAGUGUGUUUUGUAGCUAAAUUUAAUUUAAAAUUUGUCAUUUUAGUGAAAAUUCUCAUCCACGUGGGAUAGGCGAAGUCAAUUAAAAUCACAUUCUUCCCUGAACUUUGGAAUCAAAAUUAAACCAAAAUUAAAGAGGACAUGUUGAAUUCUCAACGCCAAGUGAAACUCAAAGGUAUGUAAUGUUUCUUUUAUAUGAAAUUAUCGUAUUUUGGCGAGUAAAAGUGUUCAAAAUUUUUUGUUCAAAUUGAGGAUCGCAAGCCGGCUUGGGCGUAUUAAUAAAAUAUGUCGCAUUAAAUUUUUGUCCCGUCCUGGCAUAAACUCGCUGAAUUUAGCAUUGCUUUUCGUUAUCUUUAGUUUAAAAUAGUAGAAGAACAUAUCCAUAAAGUAUUCAGUGUGUUUUGUAGCUAAAUUUAAUUUAAUAUUUGUCAUUUUAGUGAAAAUUCUCAUCCACGUGGGAUUAGCGAAGUCAAGUAUAAUCACGCUGUUGCGUGAAUUUUGGAAUCAAAAUUUAACCGAAAUUAAAGAAAUGUUGGAGUCUUGACUUCAAGAGAAACUCAAAGACUGAAUUGAGGUAUGUAUUUUUUGUCUUUAUGUAAAAAGUUCGUAUUUGUGAGUAAAAAUAUUUGAAAAUUUUUGUCGACGUCGCUUUGGCGUGGUGUCCGGAUUCGACUGUCGUCCACUUGCCAGGCAAUAAAUAGGCAGAUUUUUCUCCGGGUAAUCCGGUCUCCCUUCUUCGCCAAAAUUAAGCACUAUUAAAGCCUUAGUUGUCGAGCACAUGUACGUAACUUCGAUAUUACGGCUGGGGUGUGUGAGCUCGUUUUACCCGACCAAAGGGCGUGGCUGAAUCGUGCCCGACAGACAUUUCAUCAUUUUAUCAUUUUUGCUAAUUAAUAUUUCUUUUCCCAAAAUUGUGGACGUGUGUGUGUGGAGGGAAGAAAAUUUUUUCGGACAUAUCAUUUUUCUCUACGGACAUACCAUUUUUCGGACAUACCAUUUUCGAACUAAUGUACCGUAAUUUGUACAAUUUUUCAGUAAUAUUUUCGGGGUCGCAAUCCCCCCCAAUCCCCCAGUAGUUACAGCGAGGACGAGAGCACAUGCCCAUGAGAGUUGGCAUAUGCAGUCAUGCGACCUUAGCUAGGUUUUUAAUACCUCAACACUAUCAUGCAUGUAUAGUAUAUAAUUCUAUAUAAUUAAGUUAAAACAUUGUGAGAACACUGACUCGUUAAACCUUUAUUUUGUUAAUAACCUGGUCUAAAUUUGGGGUGCACGAAAAAAAUUUAAUAUAAACACAAAUUUGAUUUGUAUUAAUGAAUUUCUAAUUCUUUUUUUAGAAUGGAUCCAGAUGAAAAUGUGCGUCGUUGGAAAACCCAAUACACCCCAUUACUGCGGUA